AUACUCAUGUAAUCGCUACAUAUCAUUAGGAUAUGUAGAGGAAAGUCCAUGCUCGCACAAACUGUGAUGUUUGUAGUGUUCGUGCUUGACGAAAUCAUAAGUCAAGGUAACCAAAUUGGUUAACGGCAAGGGAAAUCCCUAAGUCUGUUGAUAGGGGAUGUGAUCUUUGAAAGUGCCACAGUGACGAAGUUAGAUCGGAAACGGUUUAAGUGGAACGAGGUAAACCCCGCGAGUGAGCAACCCAAAUAAUGGUAGGGGCAUCUUUGAUUAGGUAAACGAACUGAAAAAAGGACAAGUUAAUUACUUGUAGAUAGAUGAUUGCAACCGAACGUACGAGGCUGACCACCACUUGAGUACAACGGUACAGAACAUGGCUUAUCGAG
rnacentral:RNase_P_RNA from 1 species